UGGGGAAUAUUGCACAAUGGGGGGAAACCCUGAUGCAGCGACGCCGCGUGGAGGAAGGAGGUCUUCGGAUUGUAAACUCCUGUUGUUGAGGAAGAUAAUGACGGUACUCAACAAGGAAGUGACGGCUAACUACGUGCCAGCAGCCGCGGUAAUACGGAGGGUGCAAGCGUUAAUCGGAAUAACUGGGCGUAAAGGGCAUGCAGGCGGUUCAUCAAGUAGGAUGUGAAAUCCCCGGGCUCAACCUGGGAGCAGCAUACUAAACUGGUGGACUAGAGUAUUGCAGGGGGAGACGGAAUUCCAGGUGUAGCGGUGGAAUGCGUAGAUAUCUGGAAGAACACCAAAGGCGAAGGCAGUCUCCUGGGCAAAUACUGACGCUCAUAUGCGAAAGCGUGGUAGCAAACAGGAUUAGAUACCCUGGUAGU
rnacentral:rRNA from 1 species